GGCUGCGCUCAAAAACAAUAAUUUUUCGGAUUGCUAAAUCUAAGAAGCCCUUUACUACUGGGGAAGAGUUAAUUCUGCCUGCUGGUAAAGGCAUGUGCAAUG